rnacentral:rRNA from 1 species
GGGGCUUCGGCCCUGAGUAGAGUGGCGAACGGGUGAGUAACACGUGGGUGACCUACCUUCGAAUGGGGGAUAACGUCCCGAAAGGGACGCUAAUACCGCAUAACAUCCUGCUUUUGAAGAGGUGGAGAUCAAAGCUGGGGAUCGCAAGACCUGGCGUUUGAAGAGGGGCCCGCGUCUGAUUAGCUAGUUGGUGAGGUAACGGCUCACCAAGGCAACGAUCAGUAUCCGGCCUGAGAGGGCGGACGGACACACUGGGACUGAGACACGGCCCAGACUCCUACGGGAGGCAGCAGUGGGGAAUUGUUCGCAAUGGGCGCAAGCCUGACGACGCAACGCCGCGUGGAGGAUGAAGGUCUUCGGAUUGUAAACUCCUGUUGCCCGGGACGAAAUGCUUCGACCUAACACGUCGAAGUUUGACGGUACCGGGUGAGGAAGCCCCGGCUAACUCUGUGCCAGCAGCCGCGGUAAUACAGAGGGGGCAAGCGUUGUUCGGAAUUACUGGGCGUAAAGGGCGCGUAGGCGGCCUUCUAAGUCGAACGUGAAAUCCCCGGGCUCAACCCGGGAACUGCGUCCGAUACUGGAAGGCUUGAAUCCGGGAGAGGGAUGCGGAAUUCCAGGUGUAGCGGUGAAAUGCGUAGAUAUCUGGAGGAACACCGGUGGCGAAGGCGGCAUCCUGGACCGGCAUUGACGCUGAGGCGCGAAAGCCAGGGGAGCAAACGGGAUUAGAUACCCCGGUAGUCCUGGCCCUAAACGAUGAAUGCUUGGUGUGGCGGGUAUCGAUCCCUGCCGUG